AAAGAAUCGUGUUCCUCUGCGACCUCUGCUGCCAGUACUCGUCCUAAGAGGGUCCCAAGGCGUCAGCAGAUGCGCCAAGUCUCAACAGAUGAACGAGAAAGUUCAGCCUCUGAUCUAGCCCCUACUGCAACAGUACUUCUUAACAAGGAGAAACAAGAACUGACCUUUCUAAAGGAGAAGUUGGAAUGGCAGAAGAAGAAGAUUGAAGAACUGGAAGAAGAGAGAGAUUUUCUCCGUGGACAGUUGUCUGCCCUCACAGUUAAAACAAAGGAAGAAACCAUGGACACUCCAGUCAAUGUGAAUGAUUCUGAAAGCUCUGAUACAUCAUCCUCAUCUUCUUGAUCCUCAUCCUCAUCUUCAACCCCCAAGAAGCGCAAGCACAAAUCCAAAAAGAAGCACAGCAAGGGUGCUAAGAAACACAAGAAAGAGCACAAGAAGUUUCGACAGCGUGUACAAACACCAAGUGAAAUUGUAUGCCGCUACAAAUCCAUCCUUAAAACAUUACCAAAAGCAAAGACCAUGACCAGGGCCUUCCAGAAGCAUGCCAUUGACAGGAACACUGUGGUGUCCACUUCAGCGAUUGGAGAGCUCGCUAUUGCUGCUCCUGAGGUAUAUGAAGAGGUACUGGCCAAGAAGCCUGGUGGAGAGACAGUGCUGGCCUUUGCUAAGCGGUGUGAGGCUGCUAUUCAAGGAGAUGAAGAUGUGAAAGAGAAAAUAGAAAGCAUGAAGGCUGGGUGUACACUUCUCCCCAUUAGGAGAAGCAAACCUGUUUAAUGGCUGUUUGCACUUGGUUGUGUUAAAAGUUUAGGUGGCAUGUUGUUUUAAGUUAAAGUGAAAACCAAAAUUUAAAAUGCAGCAGUAUGUGAGGUUUGUUUUUGGUUUGUUUAGGUUUUUACUGAAAACUGUUUGUUUUUUUAGGUAGAGACUUGGUAAACAUUUAGACGGAUUUAAUUUAAAAUCUGAUAUAAGGAAUGUGGUGAGUAACAUUUUGUUUAUUUCAAAGACAUUUUUAUUUAAAGAGUAAAUUACCAUAAUAUAGGUCUAUUCACAUUUAGUUGACAGUUUAAAUGUCAGUCUCCUUUGAACUUUGUAUUUUGUUGUGCAAAUAAAACUAUUUUUCUCA